rnacentral:rRNA from 1 species
AUACGGAGGGUGCGAGCGUUAAUCGGAAUUACUAGGCGUAAAGGGUGCGUAGGCGGCUUGAUAAGUCGGAUGUGAAAGCCCCGGGCUUAACCUGGGAAUUGCAUUCGAUACUGUCAGGCUAGAGUAUGUCAGAGGUUGGCGGAAUUCCUGGUGUAGCGGUGAAAUGCGUAGAUAUCAGGAGGAACACCAGUGGCGAAGGCGGCUAACUGGGGCAAUACUGACGCUGAGGCACGAAAGCGUGGGGAGCAAACAGGAUUAGAAACCCUAGUAGUCC